rnacentral:rRNA from 1 species
GACGAACCGUCCAAACGUUAUUCGGAAUCACUGGGCUUACAGAGUUCGUAGGCGGUCUGGAAAGUUGGGUGUGAAAUCCCUCGGCUCAACCGAGGAACUGCGCUCAAAACUACCCGACUCGAGGGAGAUAGAGGAAAGCGGAACUGAUGGUGGAGCGGUGAAAUGCGUUGAUAUCAUCAGGAACACCUAUGGCGAAGGCAGCUCGCUGGGACGGUACUGACGCUGAGACGCGAAAGCGUGGGGAGCGAACAGG